rnacentral:lncRNA from 10 species
GAAACGGAGUCUCACUCUGUCACCAGGCUGGAGUGCAGUGCCGCAAUCUCAGCUCGCCGCAACCUCCGCCUCCCAGGUUCAAGUGAUUCUCCUGCCUCAGCCUCCCGAGUAGCUGGGAUUACAAGUGCACACUACCACGCCCAGCUAAUUUUUGCAUUUUUACUAGACAGGGUUUCACCAUGUUGGCUAGGAUAGUUUCACCAGGAUCUCUUGGCCUCAUGAUCAGCCUGCCUCGGCCUCCCAAAGUGCUGGGAUUACAGAUUUACUAUCACAAAGACUUUGCUCUGAGAAAAAUGUGAUUUCUUUCUUUUUUUUUUUUUUUUGAGACAGAGUCUCACUCUGUCACCCAGGCUGGAGUGCAGUGGUGCAAUCUCGGCUCACUGCAAUCUCCGCCUCCCAGGUUCACGCCAUUCUCUUGCCUCAGUCUCCCGAGUAGCUGGGCCUACAGGCGCCCGCCACCCUGCCCAGCUAAUUUUUUGUAUUUUUAGUAGAGACGGGGUUUCACCAUGUUAGCCAGGAUGGUCUCAAUCUCCUGACCUCGUGAUCCACCUGCCUCAGCCUCCCAAAG